GAUGAACGCUGGCGGCGUGCUUAACACAUGCAAGUCGAACGGAAAGGCCCAAGCUGCUUUGGUUACUCGAUUGGCAACCGGGUGGUAACCACUUGGUUGAUCUGCCUUGCCUUUCGGGUUAAGCCUGGGAACCUGGGCCUAUUCCGGGUAAGGCCCCCUCCUGGGAGGUUGUGGUGGAAGGUUUUUCCGGUGUGGGUUGAGCUGGCGGCCUUUCAGCUUGUUGUUGGGGUAAUGGCUUACCAAGGCGUGGACGGGUAGCCGGCCUGAGAGGGUGUACGGCCACAUUGGGACUGAGAUACGGCCCAGACUCCUACGGGAGGCAGCAGUGGGGAAUAUUGCACAAUGGGCGCAAGCCUGAUGCAGCGACGCCGCGUGGGGGAUGACGGCCUUCGGGUUGUAAACUCCUUUCGCGAGGGACGAAGCGUUUUGUGACGGUACCUGGAGAAGAAGCACCGGCUAACUACGUG
rnacentral:rRNA from 1 species